AACUUCAUAAUCAUCUUGGUCACUGAAUGGAACAUAAAGGUUAAGAAAAUAUUAAGGGGGAAAAACAAAGAAAAAUAUAAGGAACAGAUCUCACAUGUAUCAUAUGAAACAAAGGUAACUACAAUAUCCACAAUUUUAGGCUAAAGAAAAAUAUUGCAAGGACAAAAUGAAGAUGAAAAGCACAGCUAGAUAUAUUGAAAAAGAUGUGAUUGUGAAGCCAAUGACAUAAUGCACGAAUGGAACUAAAUGCUAAGAAAGGAGUUAUAAUUUAAAAGUAGUAGCACUCUUGCAUUCUACAUCACAUGAUAUCUGUAUUCCACAUUACAUCAAUUUACUGCUAGAUUGAAUUUUAUGCAUCAGGCAAAAAAAUUUAGCUUCCACAAUGUAUCCAGAUUCCAGAAUCUUCAUUCAAUUUAAGCCACUCCUCACUAAUAACCAAACAAGCCCAUAUCAGUUCUCAAAUACCCUUAAAAUAUAACUUCUUUCCUCUUGGCUCCAAAGGAGCAGCCCAGAAGUAAAGGCUUGGUCUAUAAGGGGAUUUAGGCUACAAUCCUGCUAAUGCUCUGUUUGGAUGGGGGUGAGUAAAGGGUAAAUAAGGGUAACGAGG
rnacentral:misc_RNA from 1 species